rnacentral:tRNA from 1 species
AAGGAUUUAAGUUAAAUAAACUAGUAACCUUCAAAGUUACAAAUAGGGCCUAAUUCCUAACCCUUA